UACAGAGGUCUCAAGCGUUGUUCGGAUUCAUUGGGCGUAAAGGGUGCGUAGGUGGCGCUGUAAGUCGGGUGUGAAAUUUCGGAGCUUAACUCCGAAACUGCAUUCGAUACUGCGGUGCUUGAGGACUGGAGAGGAGACUGGAAUUCAUGGUGUAGCAGUGAAAUGCGUAGAGAUCAUGGGGAAGACCAGUGGCGAAGGCGGGGUCUCUGGACAGUUCCUGACACUGAGGCACGAAGGCCAGGGGAGCAAACGGG
rnacentral:rRNA from 1 species